rnacentral:rRNA from 2 species
UACGUAGGUGGCGAGCGUUAUCCGGAAUUAUUGGGCGUAAAGAGGGAGCAGGCGGCGGCAGAGGUCUGUGGUGAAAGACUGAAGCUUAACUUCAGUAAGCCAUAGAAACCGGGCUGCUAGAGUGCAGGAGAGGAUCGUGGAAUUCCAUGUGUAGCGGUGAAAUGCGUAGAUAUAUGGAGGAACACCAGUGGCGAAGGCGACGGUCUGGCCUGUAACUGACGCUCAUUCCCGAAAGCGUGGGGAGCAAAUAGG